UACGGAGGGGGCUAGCGUUGUUCGGAAUUACUGGGCGUAAAGUGCGCGUAGGCGGACCUGCAAGUCGGGGGUGAAAGCCCGAGGCUCAACCUCGGAACUGCCUUCGAUACUGCGGGUCUCGAGUCCGGGAGAGGUGAGUGGAAUUCCUAGUGUAGAGGUGAAAUUCGUAGAUAUUAGGAAGAACACCAGUGGCGAAGGCGGCUCACUGGCCCGGUGCUGACGCUGAGGCGCGAAAGCGUGGGGAGCAAACAGG
rnacentral:rRNA from 1 species